UACGGGGGGGGCAAGCGUUGUCCGGAUUUAUUGGGCGUAAAGAGCGUGUAGGCGGCCAUACAGGUCAGCUGUGAAAACUCGAGGCUCAACCUCGAGACGUCGGUUGAAACCGUUUGGCUAGAGUCCGGAAGAGGAGAGUGGAAUUCCCGGUGUAGCGGUGAAAUGCGCAGAUAUCGGGAAGAACACCCGUGGCGAAGGCGGCUCUCUGGGACGGUACUGACGCUGAGACGCGAAAGCGUGGGGAGCGAACAGG
rnacentral:rRNA from 1 species